rnacentral:rRNA from 1 species
CCUACGGGAGGCAGCAGUGGGGAAUAUUGCACAAUGGGGGAAAGCCUGAUGCAGCGACGCCGCGUGAAGGAAGAAGUAUUUCGGUAUGUAAACUUCUAUCAGCAGGGAAGAAAAUGACGGUACCUGACUAAGAAGCCCCGGCUAACUACGUGCCAGCAGCCGCGGUCAUCCGUAGGGGGCAAGCGUUAUCCGGAUUUACUGGGUGUAAAGGGAGCGUAGGCGGUGCAGCAAGUCAGAAGUUAAAGCCCCGGGCUCAACUCCGGGACUGCUUUUGACACUGUUGAACUAGAUUGCAGGAGAGGUAAGUGGAAUUCGUGGUGUAGCGGUGAAAUGCGUAGAUAGUAGGAGGAACACCAGUGGCGAAGGCGGCUUACUGGACUGUAAAUGACGCUGAGGCUCGAAAGCGUGGGGAGCAAACAGGAUUAGAUACCCUGGUAGUC